rnacentral:rRNA from 1 species
UACGUAGGUGGCUAGCGUUGUCCGGAUUUACUGGGCGUAAAGAGCGCGCAGGCGGUCGUUCAAGUCGAGUGUGAAAGCCCCCGGCUCAACUGGGGAGGGUCACUCGAUACUGAUCGACUCGAAGGCAGGAGAGGGAAGUGGAAUUCCCGGUGUAGUGGUGAAAUGCGUAGAUAUCGGGAGGAACACCAGUGGCGAAGGCGACUUCCUGGCCUGUUCUUGACGCUGAGGCGCGAAAGCUAGGGGAGCAAACGGG